rnacentral:lncRNA from 10 species
AGCAACUAUUCCAGGAGACAAGUAUGGAGGCUAUACAGGCUUCUGCUUCUGGGGAGGCCUCUGGCAACUUACAAUCAUGGUGGAAGGUGAAGGACAAGCAAGCAUCUCUUACCUGGCAGGAGCAGGAGGAAGAGAGCGAAGAGGAAGGUGUCACACACUUUUAAACAACCAGAUCUCGCGGGAAUUCUAUCACAAGACAGCACUAGGGGGAUGGUGCUAGACCAUGAGAAACACUCCCAUUGUGUCUGGAAUUGGUGGGUUCUUGGUCUCACUGACUUCAAGAAUGAAGCCGCGGACCUUCGCGGUGAGUGUUACGGGUCUCAGAGAUGGUGUGUCCAGAAUUUGUUCCUUCUGAUGUUCGGACAUAUUCAGAGUUUCUUCCUUCUGGUGGGUUCCUGGUGGGUUUCUGGUCUCGCUGGCCUCAGGAGUGAACCUGCAGACCUUCCCGGUGAGUGUUACAGCUAAUAAGGGCAGUGGGGACCCAAAGAGUGACCAGCAGGAAGAUUCAUGGCAAAGAGCCAAAAAAAUCACAGCUUCCACACUGUGGAACAAGACCCCACUGGGUUGCCACAGCUGGUUCCGGCAGCCCGCAUUUAUUCCCUAAUCCGACCCCACCCACAUCCUGCUGAUUGGUCCAUUUUACAGAGCGCUGAUUGGUCCAUUUUACAGAGCGCUGAUUGGUCCAUUUUGACAGGGUACUGAUUGGUGCCUUUACAAACCUUUGGCUAGACACAAAAGUUCUCCAAGUCCCCACUAGAUGAGCUAGACACAGAGCACUGACUGGUGCGUUUACAAACCUUGAGCUAGACACAGGGUACUGGUUGGUGUGUUUACAUUCCUCUAGCUAGACAUAAAAGUUCUCCAAGUCCCCACUAGACUCAGGAGUCCAGCUGGCUUCACCUCGGGGAUCCCGC